rnacentral:lncRNA from 1 species
CUGACGUCAACGCGCAGCCGCCUGGCAGUGAAGCCGCACGGCGGCGCCGGGCAGUGGCGCGGCGGCGCCCCCUGGCGGCGGCCGGCGGGGGUGGCGGGGAGCCAGGUUGCGGGGUGAGGCUGGAGKGGAGGGAAAAAGCAAACCGGGAAAAGAAAUGGGAAACGAAUCGGGAAGCGGGAUUCAACGGCAAAGAAUCGGCGGCAGGCACAUGCAACCACAGUGGCAUGCACAUGCAAGCAUGCACACAGUGGCAUGCACAACCACGCACCCAGCAGCAUGCAAACACACAACGCACACAGCACUAUGCACGCACAGGGUGCACACACGCACCCCCAAUGCACACAGCAGCAUGCACACACACCCAACGCACACAGCAGCAUGCACACACAGGGUGCACACACGCACACCCAACGCACACAGCAGCAUGCACACUCAGGGUGCACACACACACGCACAGCAGCAUGCACGCACACCCCCACACGGCGGCAGUGGCGGCAUGACACACACCCGGCCACGCGCCCUUGCAGCCCAACGCGCGCCCUGUGUCCUGCCUGCACCAUCGCCCGCACCCGCGCACCCUCCUCAGCCUGCCGGUGCAACGCACGCACACACGUCCGUGCUGCGUGCAGGAAGCCGGCCCCGAAACCGCCACCAAGAUUGUCAUCGGCGGAAACCGGCCGCUGCAGCUCUCCGAAACUCGCCCGGCCUCGUGGCCCGGCGAUUACAGAAAACAACCCCAAUUUGCUGCAAAAUGCAUCCCCGGUGCAGGAAAACUCUUCCGUUUGGAUGCCCCCGGGCCCCCCCCCAGGGCAUUUGCAUGCCACUUUGGGCCGUUUCGCCCUGUCCUGUUGGUUUUGGGGUGAGGGUGACUCACUGCCGGCGCCGCGGUUGCAAACACAGCCGGAAAGUCCCUCUUGCAGCCCCAAAGCCAGCGCCCAGCUCCCCCCCCCCCCCCCCCAUCUUUCGUUACGCAGCAGCGUAACCCCAAACCCCAUUUUGGGGUGAGGAGCGCCGUUUCGAGGUGCUGAAGGUUUCCCAGCGCGGCAGCUCCUGCCAGCACCCUGGGGUGAGGUGGGGGGAGGCACGAUUUAGGCAGGCGACGCGCAGAGCUGCCCGCGAGCCGAACUCGCCUGGGGGUUCAAAAUGCUCAAAAUGCAAAGUGGGAAAACAUCGGCAUUUCGGUUAAAACAUCGGUUUUUUGGGGGGGGAGGGUUGCAGAUAACAUUUUUCAACCCAAAUCGCUGCGUCUGCCCGCAAAAACGACACCAGUCCGGGCCGGCUGCAGGCAGCCAAGCCUCUYGCGGCCGAAAAAACACCCCCUCUGCCGGCAUCUGCGGGCUCCCUGCAGACCAGGCGCGGGGGGCGAGCGGGGACGGGGGGGGGCGGUUGCCACCGCUGGCCCCCGGCCCUUUUCCGGGACGCUUCUGCCCCGUCAGCAGUCUCCGCGGUUCUGCGGCGUUUGUGGCGGAGCCGGGGAAGCUUUCCCAGGACGGCCGGAGCUCUCGCUCGGAGCAGCUCAAAUCCCCGCUGKGCGGCCCUGCAGCCCGCGGAGGGGGCCGAGGACGCGGCUCCCCCCUGUCACCCACCCUGUGCACGCRAGGAGCCGCCGCUCGGCCACGGGGAGCUGCUUUCCACGCGCCUCUGCGCCGCUCCGAGCGACCAGAGAUGUUGGGGGGGGAACGAGGGCAUUUGGGGUUUAAAUUCGGCAGGGYGGGUAUUCGUGCUCCUCGCGUCCCAAGGAUGCUCCUGCCUCUGUUCCUGCCUUCAGCAGCACCGUUCCUCUGAGCGCUACCAAAGUGUUAGGCUCUGCCCAUGGCCCUGCCAUCAUUCAGCUCCAGARUUAACACUCUCUUCCGAUGGCGUGAAAAAAACCUGCGCUGCCAGCUCCCCCCCCAGGGCUGCCCGCAGACUCGGACCGGCGCCGGUGGCCCUGACUGAGGGGGGGCAGCUGCUGCAGCCCCCCCCCUCGGGAAUGUAGCCAU